rnacentral:rRNA from 1 species
GAUGAACGCUGGCGGCGUGCCUAAUACAUGCAAGUCGAGCGAACAGAUGAGGAGCUUGCUCCUCUGACGUUAGCGGCGGACGGGUGAGUAACACGUGGAUAACCUACCUAUAAGACUGGGAUAACUUCGGGAAACCGGAGCUAAUACCGGAUAAUAUAUUGAACCGCAUGGUUCAAUAGUGAAAGACGGUUUUGCUGUCACUUAUAGAUGGAUCCGCGCCGCAUUAGCUAGUUGGUAAGGUAACGGCUUACCAAGGCAACGAUGCGUAGCCGACCUGAGAGGGUGAUCGGACACACUGGAACUGAGACACGGUCCAGACUCCUACGGGAGGCAGCAGUAGGGAAUCUUCCGCAAUGGGCGAAAGCCUGACGGAGAAACGCCGCGUGAGUGAUGAAGGUCUUAGGAUCGUAAAACUCUGUUAUUAGGGAAGAACAAAUGUGUAAGUAACUAUGCACGUCUUGACGGUACCUAAUCAGAAAGCCACGGCUAACUACGUG